rnacentral:rRNA from 1 species
CACGGAGGGUGCAAGCGUUAUCCGGAUUCACUGGGUUUAAAGGGUGCGUAGGUGGGUUGGUAAGUCAGUGGUGAAAUCCCCGAGCUUAACUUGGGAACCGCCAUUGAUACUAUUAAUCUUGAAUACCGUGGAGGUCAGCGGAAUAUGUCAUGUAGCGGUGAAAUGCUUAGAUAUGACAUAGAACACCAAUUGCGAAGGCAGCUGGCUACGCGAAUAUUGACACUGAUGCACGAAAGCGUGGAGAUCAAACAGG